rnacentral:rRNA from 1 species
AGCGAACGCUGGCGGCAGGCCUAACACAUGCCAGUCGAACGAACCUUUCGGGGUUAGUGGCGGACGGGUGAGUAACACGUGGGAACGUGCCGUUAGGUACGGAAUAACUCAGGUAAACUUGUGCUAAUACCGAAUGUGCUCUUCGGGGGAAGGAUUUGUCGCCGUUAGAGCGGCCGGCGACGGUUUAGCCAGUCGGUUGUGGAAAUGGCUCACCAAGGCUACGAUCAGUAGCUGGUCUGAGAGGAUGAUCAGCCACAUUGGGACUGAGACGCGGCCCAAACUCCUACGCGAGGCAGCAGUGGGGAAUCUUGCGAAAUGGGGGAGAGGCUGACGCAGCCAGGCCGGGUGAGUGAUGAAGGUCGUAGGGUUGUAAAAUUCUUUAACAGGGGACGAUAAUGACGGUACCCGGAGAAGAAGCCCCGGCUAACUUCGUG